AUAAUCAAAGCUCUAAAUCCAUGUUAUUCAUCAAAAACAUCUAAUAUUAUCAAUGACAACUUCCAAAAUUUUUAAAAAAAUAAAAAAAUAAAGGUACAGUUUAGUUGGACCUAAUUGCAACAAUUUUAAAAAUAUAAAAAUUACAAGAAACGGGUAAGAAUUGAACUCACAUGAAGAAAAAAUAUGAAAAACCAGCUUAAGCUCUCUCUCCUAUGGCUGUUUAGGCCGAAAUUGAAGAUGAAUUGCAUAGAAACUUUUAGAAUUUUCUAUUUGUUUGUUUUAAUUUCAUUAAAAUUACCAUUUUG
rnacentral:lncRNA from 1 species